UUUUUAAUUGUCAAAAUACUGAUAGUAAAAUCAGAAAUGGUAGGGUUGGGAAUGAUCAAUUAGGUUGUAUAUAAAUUAUUUCUUAAUGGAUUUUACACACAAAAAUAGGCAAAUGAAUUCGAUUCAAUGGCUAUUUUUGAGCGACAAACCACCAAUAAAGUGUUAUUAGAUGAUACGGAACAAUUAACAUGUACUAUUGAGAACUGGAAAAACGUCAAUGGUCACACUGAAUUUAUUAUAAAAGUAUAUAGAGGACCUUUUUCGGAUCAAACGUGGAAAAUAAGUAAAAGAUACAAUGAUUUUUGUAAGUUGCACAAUGCAUUGCAGUCUUCUGGGAUACCCCUGGAACUACCUCCAAAAAAACUCAUUGGAAAUAUGGACCCACAUUUUCUUGGCGAAAGGCAACAGGGCUUACAGAAAUAUCUAGACAGCAUCCUAAUGAAUCCAAUACUAGUUUCAUCACUUCCAGCUAGAUCAUUUGUUGAUCCAGCAAAUUAUUGCCAACCAUUUAGAGAGUUGGCUUUACAACAUGUAUCUUUGGCGCUGAGAGGGGAAGUUGGCUGGGAAGUUGUAGGUCCAAUCAAUGAUAUGGGUUGGAGAUUAAGGAAACAUUAUUAUGAAUUAAAAUGUAAAUCUUUACCCAAGGAAGAAAUAUUUGGAGGAUGGACUGAUUACGGUCCCGAUAAAUAUUUGGAUGAUCGAGAGAUGCAUGCUGUUUUUAAAAGCAUCGGUCAGCUACAGCAUCCAUAUAUAUAUCCCAUUGAGCUGUGUUUAUCUACCGAAACUGGGGCAUUGGUGGCUCGAUUGGCACAUAAAAAUGGGACAUUGAGAGAUCUCCUUUCUGGAGCUAAACCGAGACAAUCAUUUUUAAAAAAAUACGGAAAUCCCAAGGGACAUAAAACACUCACGGCAGAGCAAAUAUCUUUGUAUGGUCGGCAAAUAUUAGAGGCGUUGAAGUUUUUACAUGAUAAAGGAUUACCUUAUGGUCAUUUACACACUGGAAAUAUCAUAAUCGAUAACGAUCGAGUAAAACUUCUGGAUAUAGAAAAUGGAGUAUUGGGUGUGCCUUCAUUUUACCGACCAUAUUUUAUGCAACAUAAGAAAAUAAAUAAUUUAGAAGCCAUAGAUGUCUACUGUUUUGGACACGUACUUUACGAAAUGAUGUUUGGGGCUCCGUUGCAUGAAAGCAUAGUUGAUAAUAUGCCAAAUUAUCCUGUAACUGAACUCAGAGAUCUACUUUCUCGAAUACUGUCAUCGGAAGGAUGCAAACAUGGUUUACCGACCAUAAGCGAUCUCUUGUUCGAUCCAUUCUUCUCGGUAGUUCAUUUAUCAUUUUUGCCCACUGACAAAGCUCAUUUAAAACUUGCCACUUCAACGAAGGAACAAUUAAAGCAUGCUGUUCACAAAAUUGAGGAAAGGUUGAGGGAUGAACAAAAAGUUGUCAGGAGUCAAAAAAAGUUGGUCAAAGUCCAAGAAAUGAUGAGUUGUGAAGAAGAGAAAAAGAAGCAAGCUAGACACAAAAUGGAAAGAUUAGCUAAGGAACAACAUAAACACAACAGAAGACUGGAAAAGGCUAACAGUAUUAAUGGUGAGAGAUCUGAAAGUGUAAAUAGCAGUGGAGCCACUUCAGUUGGUACAUCCACCCCUCCCUCGACGACUGGAUAUAAUGUUCCAUCGCCACCUCCGCCUCCUCCACCGCCACCUGUGCCGCCAAUAGGUGAUGACAUGCCAUCACUUAUCAAUGGAUCUUCUGUUCCUACAGGGAAUAAAGACCGUUCCGAAUUACUAGGAGCCAUUUGCAAUUUUAAUAAAUCUGCCUUGCGUAAAACCAAAGUUUCUUGAAUUUAUAUUAAAAGAAGAGGUACAGCGGGUAAAGUCGCUUUUAAACAGCAUCUCGUCCCUUACCUAAUUGUGACUGAAAGAAGCAGUACUGAAAGAAGAAGUAACAGCGUUUCUUCUGCGGCCGUUAUUAUAAAGGUCGCAUUUACCUUUAUACAUUAGACUCACUUGCUGGUCUUAUGCUUAUUUAUUGAGUGGAUAAAUCUAACGAACAAGGAUGUAAUUAGAAUUUUUAUUUUAUGCCAUUUUUAUUCUAUGCCAUUCGCAUUUAAAAAAGUAUUUGUUAACUAGUUGUUUAGUAAGUUUUUAAGAUUUAUAUUUCUCAUUAGAUAUUUUAAACAAUUUAAUUCGAUUUAUUAAAAUGGUUGAGUCAAGCAAAAGUAUGAAAUAAUACAAUACACAUUUAAUUUUAUAUUACAAUAAUAAGCAUAUUUUGAUCAUGUUGCAGAUAACGGCGUAUCUUUAUGAUUUCAUAUCUAUUUAGACAUCUAUAAUCUUGGCAGCUCAGUUUUUCAUUGCAUUCUUUUUUUCUCAUGCUAUCCUUCACUUGACUUGAAAUAUUGCUCGGUAGUCAAUACGAUGGUAAAAUCAUUACCUCUAUUUUUCUCAAUCAACGUAAUGAGUUUUUUUCCAAAGUAUGCUGAUCAGCCUCCAUUGUUACAAUAAAUGAUUUACUCACAAAUUUUUAUGAAUAAUGCAAAAACCACUGACAAACAAACUGCACGUUAGCACUAAUUUAAGGUUAGGUUGAUUUUUUUUGCAAAUUAAGACAAAAGGCGAAUUUCGGCAUCUGGCAUGUCUAGCAUCUGCCUCCAACAUAUUAAUUCUACCAACAGCCUAGUGGGGAUCUUAUUCUUAUAUUAUUGGCAAACCUUUUUUAAUAAAUAUUUGGAAUUGUUAAUUAUAAAACCAAAAUAAAAAAAAAUUAUUCUUGAUCGUUAGAAAUGUUGGUGGAUAUUCUUACUAGAGAAACAUUUGUAAAUUAAUUUUUUGUACGUAAAAUUUUUUGUUUUUAUCUAUUUAAGUAUUCGAUUAUAUAAUAUAUAUUUGAUAUAAGUUCGAUUCUCUAAUCAUAAUAAUAAUACUAAUCAAAGGUUGCCCUUAAUAAUUUUACAUUUUUUUAUUCAAUCAUUAUUUAUAAUUAACGAAUUUCAUUUUUGCAUUGCAUUUUUACAGUAAACUAAUUUUCACUUACUGUUAUGUCCUCAGUAUUAACAGUAAAUGUAAAUAGAUGCAUUCCACCAAUUACCUUUUUAUGUACUAAAUCUGGUCUUUUCUCGCUAGGAAUUUCGCGUUUUAACCAUAAUUCUAUCACCUCCAUUUUCCUUUUUUUUUUUAAUAGCGAAUCUCAUGAUUAUAUAUCAUUUAUUUAUAUUAUGGCUUCUAUUCACUAUUUCCCGUAUAUUCCUGUAGAGGAGCAAUUCCUAUAUUAGGUCCCAAUCCAACAAUCCUCCUAUUAAAAUUUUCCUUAUCCUAUCAAAUUCUAGUAAAUCUCACAUUUAGAUAAACGGUAGAAUAUAAACUGCUUCGGGGAAAUUGUGAAAGUAUACAGAACUUUUUGAGUACUAUAGAUUCAGUUUAGUUCAGCGGUCGCCAACCUUUUUCAUGGGUUAAUCAAUUUCGAAAAUUUUGGAAUAGAGAGUGAGCUACUUAUCUGUAAAAUAUGUAAUACAUUUAUUAACAUCAAAUAAUAAAAAUACUGCUCUUACAAAAUAACCAGAGGUUUGCUUUUUAUGGUAGUGUUUCAACACUUUUUUGGUCCCUUGUUAUUAGGGUUAAAUCAUCAGCAUAUGCUAUCAUUUAUUUUGAUUUAUUAAUGAUACUUCCAUCCAUAUUAAUGUCCUUAUUAUGCCAUCUGACCUUAUCUCAUGUAUUAUUUCAAACUCCUUAGGCCAUUUGGUCUUUCUAUUGUCAUUACCCUUUCCCUAAAAUUUAGCAUAGUUAUUUUCACUAAUUUUCAUAUUAACUUUUGGAUUAUGUCAGUGUCCUUUAUAAUGGUCCUCCUUUUCAGACUGUCGGAUGCUUAUUUGGAGUCUAUGAAUAAAAUUUGCAAUUCCAAUAUUGUGCUUAUAGCAUUUUUCGAUCAAUUGUUUUAUAGUGUCAAUGGUAUCCACUGUUUUUUUUGUCUAAAACCUUUUUGAUACAUACCCAAAUAAUAAACUAUUUUGUAAACAAUUCUUCAACUGUUCUUGGUUUUGUUUUCGUUUUUUCAUAUACUUUUGUCCUACAUUUCUGUUGAAUGAUUGUUGAUUAUUAGCAAUUACAUUCUAAUUUGCUCGUAGCAUUUUUCGAUCACUUGUUUUAUAGUAUGAAUGGCAUCUACUGUUGAUUUUUAUAGUCUAAAACUUUUUUGAUAUACCCCUGUUUCUGGUUCCACAACUUUCAAUAUUUUAUUUAAUUAUUAUAUAUAUACAAUAUUAAGCAAACUAAUCCAACUAUAAUUGCUACAUAUGCAGGGAUUUUAAAAUUGAUACAAAUUUUUUUCCCCAUUCACUUGAUAAAAUUUGUUAGAUUUUUAUUUGAAAUUUUACUUUUAUUCAGUUUCAGUCUCCAAUUUUUUUCACAUAAGUAGUAUUUUUACUUUCUGGAUACAACUUCCCUUAUCAGUUUAAUAAUAAAAUCAUUUUCAAGUGUAUUAAAGUAAUUUACAGACUUGGUGACAAAACAAGCCAAAUGAAAUUAAUUAUUCGAUUAGUCUUCAAAGUCUAUGAAUAAAAGUGAGUUAGUUGCAGCUCGAUACGGAGUAAGUUCGAUUUUUACCAAUUUUCUUGACUAAUUAUACCAGCGAAAAAAUUUUUGUUUCAACCAAGCAGCUUUGUAAUACCUGUAUUGGGAAAAAUUUAUUUUCUUUGGUUCUUUUUCAACAUAGUGGCUCUGGACAUGGUAGUUUAUGUCAUUCCUAGUGUCAUUUGUGGUGAAGUUUGCUCAACAUGUCCAGCAGCACAUUCUUAGACACAAAGGUUUCUACUGUCAACGGCACUUUGGGCCAUUCCAACUUACAAAACUUGUUCAAAGCGAAUCACUUCAUCAAAACUUUAUUUAUUGGAGUCGUUUUGAAUUUUUUAUUCCAUCAAUUUCUAACAAUAUGAUAAUACGUAGAAUGUCACAAUUUUACAAUAUUCAUUUUCGAAAACCUGUUGUGAGCCACCCCUUGUUCCCUUUACUUCCUAUUUUUCAAAAGCUGCUAUCUUUACUGGCUUCCUUUUCCGAUUCAAAAUUGGUUCAGUUUUCGACAAUUGGCACUAGAGAUGAAGAAGAUAAGCCAAAUGAUAUUUAGAAACUUCUCAUUCACUAUUGGUAUUUUUUAGUUAAUUCUAUGCUGUACCUAUCAUAUUAUACAUUUAUUUUUAUUGUCUAUAUUGUUAGUCAAGGGGACAAGAUUAAAUUUGUGUUUUGAAUGUCUUUCAAUGUGGUAAGAAAAUUUCAUAACGACAUUUGUACAUAUUAUAAUCUCUGGUAAAAUCGUAUCUAUAAAAUGAAUUUUUUCAUAAAUGAAUACCAGCUCUGUAACAUUUAGAGUUGUUGUAUAUAUUAAAUUUAAGGUAUAUUUGUGAUAAAUAAAUAUGUGAAUGUAACUUUUAUUGAUUAAUUUAAAUCAAAUAUCAAGUAUAAAAUUUGUUACUACCGUCUUGAGUGAUGGGUACAAUGUCAAAUUCUAUUCUUUUCCACUAAUUUUAAUAAUUGUCUUUAUUCUAUUCUUGUAUCUUUAACUUUAAUGUUCGAAAAUGUUUUAUGAUGUAAAAAUUCACUAUGACCCAUUUAUAGCUUACUUAAAAUUUAUUUCUUCCAUACUACUACUACUGUGGCCACUUAAAUCCAAGUUGGUUUUUGCCUUGCCAACAAGUUACGUCCAUUUUUUAAAGAAGAAACUAUAAACAAUGCAUCGAAUUAUAUUUUUUGUCAUCGAAGGUUUUUACAACUAUUAUUCCAGUGCUAACAACUCCAAAAAAAAAUUAAUUUCAUAGAAAAGUGUUAUUUUCGAUGACCUACCCAACGCUUUCACAAUUUUAAACACAAUGGCAUUCACCUUUGUCUCUAUUGAGAUUUCUUUAUACCAAUUCAGAAUGUUUUGCUUCUCCGUAGACGAUAACUGGCCAUAAAUUGCAAAGCCCCCCUAUUUGGGGUGCGAAUGAUCUCUGCUAAUACUUGGGUCAUUUUUCAAAUUAGUCCCGACAAGAAUUGUUUUCAUAUUUUAAUAAAAUAAUAACAAGAACGCAAGAAAUAACAAAACGUUUACAAUUUAUACAAUUGUCAAUCAUAAUACGGGAGCCGUUUUUUUUUCAACCUCCGAUCACUCUCUGCAGACGCUACGCGGGCAGAAGAAGACGGGUAUGCGCUGUAGGCGACUGCAAAGCUCUGGCACUACAAACUUCGCUAUUGUUGACGUCAGUCGGCGUUUUCUACAGACUGAAGGCCGUAGUGCUGCAGAAAUCCAUCGGAAAAUGAUUCGUGUGUAUGAGAAAAACUUCAUGAGUGAUGGUGUUGUGCGUGAAUGGUGUCGAAAGUUUAUGCAUUAUGAAGGGGGCCAAGGACGCAAAUCCGUCGUUUCAGAUGACCUGGUUCACCGAGUUGACAGAAUGGUUAAAGAAAACCGCAGAUUUACCAUUACUGCUUUGUCUAUGGAAUUUCAACAUCUGUUUUGUACUCUAUUGUUACUGAACGGUUAGGCUACACUUUCUUUGAGUAUUGAGAGCAUUUCCACAUAUAUGACAAAUGUAUCAAUCUCUUCGGUGAUUAUGUCGAAAAGUAACCGUAAGUGUCUAUCGGAGGUUGAAUAAAAAAUGACCGUCGUGUAUGUCAAAAGUGCUGCGAUUUGACCAAUCAGAAAUCUACAAAAUUGCCGACUUAAAUUCAAAUACGUUUAAAAACAGGGUAUCGUAACGAAUGUAUCUUUACUCCUUCGAGGUGUAUCUAAAAUUGUGCAGUACACAGUCAAUGUAAGAAAUGUGUAACGUUUUCAGUAACUAUAAAUUUCUGAUAUACCAAGGGUCUAGGACAUUGCUGAAGCAGUGCAGAAUGUUCUCCAAUAAAUACAAUGUCCAAAAAAUUUUUUCUAUCCCUAUGGUAACCUUCAACAAGUAUAGAUCAUAUUAUUUAUUCAUAUGUUGGUAUUGCAUAUUAGUCUGUACAUAUUUUGAAGUCAUAGUUUUAUUAAUUAAGAGACAUGUAAUCUUUCAGUGGAUUUAAAUAAAAAUUCAUCUGUCAACUUUUAUAAAAUAGAACCAAGUACUCUUAUACACGCUCCUUUUAAUGAUCUUAUUAUAAGUGAGGCUUGGCAUUGCAAAACUCACUGUAUCCAUUUUUGGAAAAUUUUUUUCCAAACUCAUUCAUCACAUCUAAAUAGCGAUUCUGAUAAGAAAAUUUAAACAGGGCUGCGGAAUUGUUUUAAUUAUAACAUUUCAAAGUUUGGAUAAAGUGAGUUUUGCAGAGAAACUGUGGAUAAGGAAUAAUUUGCACCGUCAUUAGAUGGAUAUAGGAAUAUUUGCACGAACACAAUUAAAAAUGUAUUAAUGCAAAAAAUUAGAUAAUUUUUAUAGUAAAAAAGCACUCAAAAAAUACAAGCAGCAUUAAAAUUGAUAAAAUUUAUUAUUGAUAAAUGUUUUAAACUCUUACUGCAUGAUCCUCCUCAUGACCUUCACAUUUACACUCAUCUUCAAAUGCUAAAUUGUCAGAAACUAUUGCAUGAUCAAUAACAGUUUUAUAAAAAUUGCAUUCUUCUAAAUGGCGCCACUCAUUUCCAAAGUGCUUGGAUAAUAAUUCGUCGAAUGUCAUUGAUCUUGUCUUGUUUCACAUGAUUUACUUCAUGUAGUUUAACUUUUGAUAGGUUGAUACCCUUCUUAGAAACAAACUUGAAUUGGCCUACAUCUGAGUUAAAGAAAAGCUCUCCAACUAUCGAGAAGAUUUCUUGAAUAAAAAGCGUUUUGCUUCGUUAAAUGGGAAAUGCCAUCUAGCAGGCGUCUUGAAGUAAGCAGCAUUGAAACUUCUCCAGUCGUACACUUCAACUUCUCCCAGUUUCGAUACUGUGCAAUAUUCAGAAAAAAUUGAAUGGCAUUCAGAAGAGAUUAUUAUUUACCCUUUACUAUUAAUGCAAAUACUCUAUCGGGUGGUAAAAAAGAGUGUCCUGUAAUAGGAAAACACCAGUUCAAUCGACUUAAUCAAGUCAAGUCCAAAUAUCUCAGGAGGUGAAAAACUGCUGAUGCAAUUUCAUUUGAACUUUUUCUUUGUUUAAGUUCCAUCCAAGUAUAGCAAAAUAUGUUGUCCGGUGUGUUUGGAAAAUCCCGUCACAAUGGUGAAAUUGUAAAUAUACAAUUGUCUGCAGUAAUACCCACUUUGAUCUUUAAUCUUUGGUAAAACCAAAUUUUUUUGACAGUCGAAUGAUAUAAUAAGUAGGUCGCUUUGUUCGUCUUUUAGCUCGUUAUAAAAAGCUUUGUACCUUGCUUUGAGAACAGCAUGUUCGAUAAUCAAUUAUUUGAUUCUUGAACAUAUCUCUUUAUUUUCCCUUUGAGCUCAAUGCAUCCAUUAUUGGUGAACCGUACCCUAUGUUGUAUUCUUAUCAUGAGUUUUGGAGUGACACCCAUUUUUCUCGUGUGGUUCAGAAUCCACCGUUACUUUGAUAUUGGAAAAAUAUGGUUAUAGUGAGUUUUGCAAUGCCACGCCUCAAGUAAACUGUAUUAACAAUAUAAAAUUUCUGAUAUAGUAAUAUUAAUAUUUAUUGUAAUAUCAAAUAUUUUGUAAAAUAAAUGCUUUAAUUUUUGUACCUAGUCCAAUAUUAUGUCUAUAAAAAGUAACUCUCGCACAUUGUGAUUUGUGACAUUUGGCACUAAGAAUACAUAUAAAGUGGGGCCACAUAAUAUAGUUUUAUAUCGAAGCACUGCUAUGUGUAAAUGUCAUUGUUUAGAAUUUUUCCGAUUAUCCAAACGAAAUAAUUUAUAUUUUGUUAUAUAGUGCGUAAUUAACAAACUUUUUAUGCCAAUUCAUUAAUCGAAAUAUUAAUUAUUUCGUAAGUAGUUGUAAUAGUACAGUGUACAACACGUGCCGUAACUUAGUAUUUUAUAUUUAUGUAAUAUGACAGAAUCUUAUGAAAUAUUUUAUUUUCCGCACUAUCGUAAAUGUGUUGUAUCAGUAUGUGAAUGUUACUUCAUAAUCUUUUAGAUAUCGUUUUGGAAUAAAAGUAGUUGGAUGUUUUGAUAAGUAGUAUUAAUAUUGUUCAAAUAAUAUUUGUUAGAAAUACAACUUUUUUGAGUGAGCAAAAA